AUGGGAACAAGGUACAAUGAAAAAUGCACCUAACAGCAACUCACACACAUGACAUGAAGACACAAUGAACAAAGGAAAGGACCUGGACUAAAUACCCUAAGUGAGAGUGGUGACAGUAUUGAUGUUUGAUGGUGUACAGAGAUCAACACACCGCCACGAAUCCAAGACAAAAGGGUUGUGUCUCCUACAGGAGGAGCUGAAGGAUGUAGAAUUUUUGUGGCAGCCACAUUUGACUACAAGAAAGGGACAUUCACAUCUCUUAUCUGUUACGGACAGAACAACCGGAGACAACGAAGAGUUCGGGAACUGGAGCGACACACAUAGGAGACUGGAGACACACGGGAGCUGGGGCUGGAGCGACACACUCAGGAGACUGGAGACAGACGGGAGCCGGGGUUGGAGGGUUGGAGCGACACACUCAGGAGACCGGAGAUUUCUGGAGUCGUGAUUCGGGGAUCGGGGUUCAGAGUGGCGGUAGUCUUGACGUAACGUCGUGGACUAAAGAAGACUGUGCCUUUGAAGUUGUGGCUCCUACAUUUUGAUCAGGAAGUCACCGGGAUAACUGAAGGCAUCCGAGAGGAGGAAGACACUGCAUUCUAAAAUGUAUCAAAUUAUUUUUCUCUACAAAUGAAACAUUCUUACACCCAGUAGUUAAAUGGCAAUGCUGCCUGUUACCAUGCUAGGACCUGAAAGCAUUAUCUUACAACUUGGGUCUUAAUUUUGUAGUUUUGUCUAUCAUUUCUAAAGUUAAUUACAGAGAUAUGGGAAUACAGUGACAUUACUAAAAGAAGUCAAGAUGGGUCAAGAGACAUAAGCAGUGAGUUGAUCAGACAGGUUAGAAACAAACCUCCAGGUUAGACAAACUUCUUUGGACGAGAUAUCAAAGGUGAACAGUAAAAUUAUUACCCAAACUGUCUGUAAACGUCUGAUGUCUGAGUCUUCUCUCCCUUAGGCAUUCAAGCAACCCAGCCAGAAGGAGGCCUAUGUGCUGUGUUCUCCAGCUUUUGUGUUAGAGAAGGCUGAAAAUUAAGCAAUGUUUUUAAGAGCCAUGCCCAGCGUGAGUUGCAGAAACCUGCAUGGAUGUUACUCGACUGCUCAUGGCGAUGUCUAAUGGUUGGAUUUGUGGAUGAUGGAUAGUGGUGUAGUCAAGUAUUGAUGAUCUAUUAAGUGCUCUGCAAGCUAUCAAGUGGUCAGUCUCAUGCACUCAAAAAACAGACGCAUACACACAGGCAUAAGAAUAUCAGAAUACUCACUCACACAUCAUUCAUGUUGAAUUACAAAGAUUCCUCCUUUCUCGGGAAAAACAGUAUGUUCAGCUUCAGCCCUUAGAGAUGUGAUCUCAGAGAGACACAAGGUCAGUGUGGAUCUCAGUUGUCUGCAAUGUGGCCACUUUAAGACUGCAUUAAAAAACAUUUUUGUUGUUUGCUUUUUUAAAUUUUUGUUACAUUAUUAAAGGCAAACUGAAAUUUUAA